rnacentral:rRNA from 1 species
GAUGAACGCUGGCGGCGUGCCUAAUACAUGCAAGUCGAGCGAACGGACGAGAAGCUUGCUUCUCUGAUGUUAGCGGCGGACGGGUAAGUAACACGUGGAUAACCUACCUAUAAGACUGGGAUAACUUCGGGAAACCGGAGCUAAUACCGGAUAAUAUUUUGAACCGCAUGGUUCAAAAGUGGAAGACGGUCUUGCUGUCACUUAUAGAUGGAUCCGCGCUGCAUUAGCUAGUUGGUAAGGUAACGGCUUACCAAGGCAACGAUGCAUAGCCGACCUGAGAGGGUGAUCGGCCACACUGGAACUGAGACACGGUCCAGACUCCUACGGGAGGCAGCAGUAGGGAAUCUUCCGCAAUGGGCGAAAGCCUGACGGAGCAACGCCGCGUGAGUGAUGAAGGUCUUCGGAUCGUAAAACUCUGUUAUUAGGGAAGAACAUAUGUGUAAGUAACUGUGCACAUCUUGACGGUACCUAAUCAGAAAGCCACGGCUAACUACGUG